AUUGAACGCUGGCGGAAUGCUUUACACAUGCAAGUCGAGCGGCAGCGCGGGGCAACCUGGCGGCGAGCGGCGAACGGGUGAGUAACACAUCGGAACGUACCCUGUCGUGGGGGAUAACGAAUCGAAAGAUUCGCUAAUACCGCAUAAGACCUGAGGGUGAAAGCGGGGGAUCGCAAGACCUCGCGCGAUUGGAGCGGCCGAUGUGGGAUUAGCUAGUUGGUAGGGUAAAGGCCUACCAAGGCGACGAUCCGUAGCUGGUCUGAGAGGACGACCAGCCACACUGGGACUGAGACACGGCCCAGACUCCUACGGGAGGCAGCAGUGGGGAAUUUUGGACAAUGGGGGCAACCCUGAUCCAGCCAUUCCGCGUGAGUGAAGAAGGCCUUCGGGUUGUAAAGCUCUUUCGGCAGGAACGAAACGGUGGGGGCUAAUACCCCUUGCUAAUGACGGUACCUGAAGAAGAAGCACCGGCUAACUACGUGCCAGCCGCCGCCGUAAUAC
rnacentral:rRNA from 1 species